GCCGCUGCUGUGUCCCACCGCGGCAGUUUUAAUUGGACUGGUAAACAGAGUCCAGUAAAUACAGAGCCACAGUAGUAACUAUUAAAUGACUUUAGCUGGACUGCAGUUGAGUGUUCAGUUAAAACGUGGUAUCUGUUGGCUGCAGAGAAAUGUUAGUGUUCAGGGUGUCAGUCAGGCCUCAAGCAGCCACGUGGGGAGGACUGAAAGAUGGAGAAGGUAAAAGACAAAGUGGGCUUCAGCUUGGCAGCUCCUUGCAUGAGUUUGAUAAAUGUAAUCAGUCGUCCACUCAACUCAAGAGGUCAGAAUGUGCCUGUUCAAGAUGAUGCAAAGUCAAGACUGAGCUCAAGAAGAAGCAACAGAAGUUGAGUCCAGGGAAAUGCACCUGCUGCUGACAGCUGUUUGAACUGCAGCAGUGCAUGUGCUGCCAUCUUCACCAACUGACUGAAGAUUCAUUUCAUGAAGGUUGAGCUUCUUCCUUUUUGAAAGGAAGAGAUUCAUCUUAUGUCGUGCAGCUGCAGCAACACCAUCGAGAUGUUCUCUGUGCCGUUAUGCCAGUGGGCUCCUGACCCCUGAAGUCUGCUGUCGAGUGAAUUUGACAGAUUUGGAUCCAUGUGGUUGCAGCGGCCCUCGUACACCUACAGUCUUCACAUGGUAAGAUUGUCUCUACAGAUUUACUAGGACAUAGAUUUAUAGUUAUACCAUGAGCUCUAGAUGGGUUUCUUACUUCACCUGCACGUCCACUUCAUACAAAAGUAGAUACAAUGUACUUGUAAUGUUUUA